CCCCGCCCAACGGACCAGCCCCGGGCACGUAAGGGUUACCGGGAGUCCAGGGAGCUGUCGCCCUCCCGCGCCUCCCAGUUACCGUGGCAACGAUGUUGCCUAGUUAACGCGAGAGCUCACGCGCAGCUCUGGGAGCCGACAAGAUACAGUAAACAAUUGGCUUGCAUUGCACCUUCCUACCCAAGCAGCUUGGUUUUCUUUCGCUUUGACCCUAUAAUUUCUUUCCCACUUCGUUGUCGUCUCUGAAUUACCUUUCUCUUGAUUCUUGCCCAUUAGCAUCCUCCAAUUUCAGAUGUUUGUAGAUCCCCAAGUGUUCCCAGGGAAAACUACUAGAAAAGGAGAAAACUGAAUGGGCUACCUCUGAAGUCCAGGGCACCCUCCUCUAUCUUGUUCACUUCCUCAUCAGGCACUAUCUAUGGACUGAGAAGAGAAGGACUUUAAAAGAGUGGUAAAGAAAGCAACAAAGACAAUGACUGGAAAGACAGAAGAAUUGUGCAGAGAAAGAGGCAGAUAGAAAUGGAAGUCUGUUGUUCCCCUCUAUGUGUCUAUGUGUUUUCAUCAUUUUGCUCCCACUGAUACGUGAGAUCAUGCCACAUUUGGUUUUCUGUUCCUGUGUUAGUUUGGUAAGGAUAAUGUCCUCCAGCUCUAUCCAUGUCCUUGCAAAGAACGUGAUCUCAUUCUUUUUAAUGGGUGUAAAGUAUUCCAUGGUGUAUAUGUACCACAACACCCCUGAACUUAACUUAAAAGUUAAAAAUAAAAAAUAAAAAAGGAAAAGCUGAGUUAAGCUAUA